AGGAGGCUUCCCCCUCCUCUCUUUCCCCCCCUUGAAGAGCUUUGGGCUGAAGGCUGUAGAGCGCUUAGUAAUGAGAGGGGCCUUGUUUCCAUGCUUCAAAAGCAGCUUGUUGCCAUCCCACAGAGCCUCUGAAAGUGAUGAUAAGCCUUGUCCUUGUGUGCCUUCAAGUCCUUUCCCAAUUAUGAUCAGAGAGGGCUUGCCUUGGCCUUCCCCUGAGGCUGAGAGAGUGUGACCUGCCAAAGCUGCCAAAAUUCGAGCCUUUGUGGAGGGCUGUGGGUGGCUGUGCUUCUAAUCUGAGUGAAUGUGGAGGACUGACUGUAUUUCAUUGAAUAGAGAGAAGAAGAAGAAGAAGAGGAGGAGGAGGAGGAGGAGGAGGAGGAAGUUGUUGUUGUUUGUUUGUAUCCUGCCUCCAUCUCUCCGAGGGGACUCGGGGCGGCUCACAUGAGGACACAGAGUUCCAGGCUGGGUCAGGAAAUUUUGCCAUCUGUGGCAAAGAAAGUGAUUAAUUCUACAAGUUGGUUGCCCGGCUACACGCUAACAUCUUCACAGCCCCAUGCCGUCCUGGUCCUUAAGUGCUUUCAGCGAUAAAAUAAACUAAACUCAAGUUUAGUUAUGCAAAAGCCAGUAAGAGAGGCAUCACAGAACUUGAACGGUUCAGAACUACUGCAACUGAUGUGUACUCUUUAACAUUUAUUUGAUGCCAGCUGUGCUUGUAGCGCUCUAGAGAAAGCAGAAAUGGUGCAUCCUAUGCCCAGAAUCAAUUCACAUAAAGAUCAAUUCAUGAAAAAGAUAUUCAUCUACAGCAAUCUAAACCUUAUCAUUCUCAGACUCUUGGGUAGAUUUUUUUUUCCGUGUCAGGGGAGACUUGAGAAACUGCAAGUCGCUUCUGGUGGAGGGAGAAUUGGCCAUCUGCAAGGAUGUUGCCCAGGGGGCGCCUGGAUGUUUUACCACAUGGGAAGCUGGAGCUGACAGAUGAGAGUUCACCCUGCUCCCCAGAGUUUAACCCAUUUCUCCACCAGGGCUCCUCUUGUGUAGCUAACACAUCAUAUGAAUUGAAAUAACAAUUGUCUGUUUGGUGAUAAACAUUUUCCAUUUUCCAAAAUGACUUCUAAUUGUAUCUAUGAUUGCCCAGAUCUACAUGUUACAGAACCUAUACAAAUGUAUCCUUUCACAUUUUUACUCGCAUCUAGGAAGUAAAUAAAAUUUGAAUGAGAAAUAAAACAAAAAGUGAACAGUAAGAGAUCCUUACCUUAUACCAGGAGACAUUUG